GACGAACGCUGGCGGCGUGCUUAACACAUGCAAGUCGAACGGAAAGGCCCUGCUUUUGUGGGGUGCUCGAGUGGCGAACGGGUGAGUAACACGUGAGUAACCUGCCCUUGACUUUGGGAUAACUUCAGGAAACUGGGGCUAAUACCGGAUAGGAGCUCCUGCUGCAUGGUGGGGGUUGGAAAGUUUCGGCGGUUGGGGAUGGACUCGCGGCUUAUCAGCUUGUUGGUGGGGUAGUGGCUUACCAAGGCUUUGACGGGUAGCCGGCCUGAGAGGGUGACCGGCCACAUUGGGACUGAGAUACGGCCCAGACUCCUACGGGAGGCAGCAGUGGGGAAUAUUGCACAAUGGGCGGAAGCCUAAUGCAGCAACGCCGCGUGCGGGAUGACGGCCUUCGGGUUGUAAACCGAUUUCGCCUGUGACGAAGCGUGAGUGACGGUAAUGGGUAAAGAAGCACCGGCUAACUACGUG
rnacentral:rRNA from 1 species